GGGCCCGCACAAGCGGUGGAGUAUGUGGUUUAAUUCGAUGCAACGCGAAGAACCUUACCAGGGUUUGACAUCCUGCGAAUCUCUUGGAAACGAGAGAGUGCCUUCGGGAACGCAGUGACAGGUGGUGCAUGGCUGUCGUCAGCUCGUGUCGUGAGAUGUUGGGUUAAGUCCCGCAACGAGCGCAACCCACGUCUUUAGUUGCCAGCAUUUAGUUGGGCACUCUAGAGAGACUGCCGGUGAUAAACCGGAGGAAGGUGUGGAUGACGUCAAGUCAUCAUGCCCCUUACAUCCUGGGCUACACACGUACUACAAUGGUGGGGACAACGAGUCGCUAACCCGCGAGGGUAAGCU
rnacentral:rRNA from 1 species